CGGGGUAUAGCGCAGUUUGGUAGCGCGCUUCGUUCGGGACGAAGAGGCCCUCGGUUCGAAUCCGAGUACCCCGACCA
rnacentral:tRNA from 1 species